ACAUGCAAGUCGAGGGGCAGCACGGUGUAGCAAUACACUGGUGGCGACCGGCGUACGGGUGCGUAACACGUAUGCAACCUACCCGCUAUUGGGGGGAUAACCCGGCGAAAGUCGGACUAAUACCCCAUAUUAUUCUUACCGGGCAUCCGGUAGGUCUGAAAGAUUUAUCGAUUGCGGAUGGGCAUGCGGAUGAUUAGCUAGUAGGUGGGGUAACGGCUCACCUAGGCGACGAUCAUUAGGGGUUCUGAGAGGAAGGUCCCCCACACUGGAACUGAGACACGGUCCAGACUCCUACGGGAGGCAGCAGUGAGGAAUAUUGGUCAAUGGGCGCUAGCCUGAACCAGCCAAGUCGCGUGAAGGAUGACAGAAUCUAUGGUUUGUAAACUUCUUUUGCAGGGGAGUAAAGUGCGACACGUGUGUUGUAUUGCAAGUACCCUGCGAAUAAGCAUCGGCUAACUCCGUGCCAGCAGCUGC
rnacentral:rRNA from 1 species